GAGUUUGAUCUUGGCUCAGAACGAACGCUGGCGGCAGGCCUAACACAUGCAAGUCGAGCGCCCCGCAAGGGGAGCGGCGCACGGGUGAGUAACGCGUGGGAACAUGCCCAGAGGUCGGGAAUAACGGCGGGAAACUGCCGCUAAUACCCGGUAAGCCUUGAGAGGGAAAGGAGCAAUCCGCCUUUGGAGUGGCCCGCGUUGGAUUAGCUAGUUGGUGGGGUAAAAGCCUACCAAGGCGACGAUCCAUAGCUGGUCUGAGAGGAUGAUCAGCCACACUGGGACUGAGACACGGCCCAGACUCCUACGGGAGGCAGCAGUGGGGAAUAUUGGACAAUGGGGGAAACCCUGAUCCAGCCAUGCCGCGUGAGUGAAGAAGGCCCUAGGGUUGUAAAGCUCUUUCGACGGGGGACGAUGAUGACGGUACCCGUAGAAGAAGCCCCGGCUAACUUCGUGCCAGCCGCCGCGGUAAG
rnacentral:rRNA from 1 species